AUCAUUUUUGAUGGUCUCUCUGUGUAAGUCUUAUCUCCUCAUUCUGUUGUCAAGCCCGUCCAAUAAAUAAGUUAUUCUAGAUAAUAUUCAGUUCUAGAAUUUUUCUUCAUAGUUACUAUUUUUUACUGCAGUUAGUUUUCACUUAUUAUGACCAUGUUUUCGUUCAUAUCCUUGAGUAUAGAUAUAGGUACAUUGUCUCCUAAUUCCAACAUUGGGUUCUCUCCAGAUUAGUCUCUCGAUUACCUCUUCUCUUGAGGGUGGGUCUCAUUUUCUUGUUUCUUUUUAUAUGAGCAAAAUUGGAUUGUGCCAUUCCCUCCUUCCGAGACUAGGCUACCCUUCAGUAUAAACUUCUUUUUGUUGUUCUCUGGUGGCUUCAGACAGUUGGUUUUAUAUUUAUUCUAGUUUAGUUACUUUUUGCCAGAAAUUGUGGUUCGAUACACUGGUACCAAUCACAGAACCAUGGUUUAAGUAUAACUUAAAGUUUCCAUGUCGACUAAAACAGCCUCCACAGUGACGUGAGUGUUGGGAUGAAGUCAGAUUGGAGGUAGGGGUUUGCAGUGAACCGUAUUUUCUGUCAGCAGGAAUUCAGUAACUUAUGCAAAGGUCGAUUGGUCAAAGAACAGUAUAAACAUGUGAUUUGAAGAUAUGUGCAUAUCUGCCUGGACAAAUCACCUCUUAAAUUGAAAAAAAAAUUAAGAGUGGUUGCUACUUAAAAAAAAAAAAAAAAAAAGGAUGCCUGGGUGGCUCAGUUGGCUAAGUGUUUGUCUCUUAAUUUCAGUGUCAUGAGUUCAAGCCCUGCAUUGGGCUCUGGAGCCUGCUUUAAAAAAUAAAGAAAUAAAAGAGUGGUUGCUAUUGGGGUGCCUGGGUGGCUCAGUCGGUUGGGCAUCCAACUUUGGCUCAGGUCAUGAUCUCACAGCUCUUGAGUUCGAGCCCCGUGUCGGGCUCUGUGCUGACAGCUUGGAGCCUGGAGCCUGCUUUGGAUUCUGUCUGUCUCUCUGUCUCUCUGUAUCUCUCUCUCUCUCUCUCUCUGCCCCUCCCCUGCUUGUGCUCUGUCUCUCUCUGUCUCUCGAAAAUGAAUAAAUGUAAAAAAAAAAAAUUAAUUAAAAAAAAAAAAAAGAGUGGUUGCUACUGAAGGUGUGGAAGGGUGAACCGUAGCACUCUUGCUUUUUAUUGUAAGUUUUUCUGCAUUACUUACCUAAGGUGUAAGUUCUUAGAAGAAAACUCAAAUUUUAGCAAGCAGGAAAUCUAACCACUACUGUCUCUAGCCACUACUGACUAAUGCUUUCCACGCCAGACUCUGGGUAAUGGGAAGGGUAAUCCUAAUUUGGGAACGAAUGUGAAGUUCAAGUCUGGAUAGAAACUUGAAGACCGAUUUUAAGAGGUUUCCUUUUGUUAAAAUUGUGCCUUUUGGUUUGUUCUGUGAGACCGGGUUCCUUGCAUUGUGUCCAGUCCUCUCUGAGGAGGUGAGGCUGGGAGGAAUGAUUGGUAGCAGGGGGAGAGUGUGUCCUGUGCUCCGGCCUUUCCUCUGGAAAGAGUACUUGGUGAAGAAGAAAGAAUUGUGUGCCUAAAAGGUUUUUAUUAACCCCCUCCCCCACCUUCAGAAGUAACAGCUGUUGAAGUCCAGAGGGGCACCUGGCGGGCCCAGUCGGAAGAGCAUAGAACUCUUGAUCUUGGGAUCGUGAGUUCAACCCCACGUUGGGUGGAGAGAUUACUUAAAUAAAUAAAAAAAAUAAUAAAGGCCAAGCAGAUACAUCAACUUUUAUCUUCAUGCCCAAUAGCAUGAAGCUUAGUAUGCGUAGAAUAGCAUAUUAGAUGCUAUUCUUUUAGGUUCCUUUUUUACUUGUGUCUUUUUAACAUAUUUUCAUAUGGCUCUAUGAAUAUACCAGUUAGUGAUUCUAAGGUUUUGGGUUUUGUUGUUGUUGUUGCUGUUGUUUGUUUGUUUUUUAAGUGCUUCAUCCCGUGGGUGGCACAGGACCGUAGUUGGUCGGGUGUCAGUCACGACACAGUGGUCAUUACCUGCACCUGUGCAAACUUGACUAUCCCCUGUUCUGUCAGCAUUAAGGACCUUUUGAAGAAUUUGCCCUGAAAAAACCUUUUAAUACAAGCAAGCUCAGGACCUAAACUUACAAAGUGGGUGGGAGCAGAUGAGCAGGAAAUGCUUAGUUCCUCUGUGACCGGAAGCUCACGGGCAGUACUCACGCCCUUGGUGCUCAUGGAGCACGGUGACAGGUGGAAAACACAGCCCUCCUUGACAAGGGUCUUAAAGAUGCAGCGGAGUGAGACUGCGUAAAACCUCCGAGGAGUGUCUUAACCAUUUAACUUUUCUUUACUUACAAAGAGUGUUAGGAUAAAUCUGUUUGAGUGUAAACGGCUAAUCUUUAAGUAAACCUAAAAAUUCCAUCGAAGGAUGUUGUAUUUUAACUGGUAGCAUUUUCUUAGUGGUACUUAAAGUAACGAUACGUAUUAUGAUUGGUGUCUUAGAUGAAAUUUGGUCAAUACAUCACAGGUUUUAUAGCCACUCUAUGUUCUUUGACAUUGUUAAAAGCUGCGUACCGUAUCCUCAGAUAAAUCUAACAGGGUAUUUACCUAAUUCCCUAUGUUUGCCGUAUAGAUUGUUACAAGGUUUUUGCCACUGUGAGCAAUGCUGUGAUAGUUUGCUAGCUAAGUAUUUUUAUAAUUUUGUGAUAAUUUCCCCAUGAUAAAUGCAUAUAGUUGUUGUAUCAAAAGGAAUGUGCUUUAAGGCUUUUGAAUAUUUCUAAAUUUUAUUCCAGAAAAAAUCCUAACUGUGUACUCUCUGACCCCCAAUGGAUAGAAGCUCCCAUUUUCCUGCACUUUGGCUAUCAUUGGGCUUCAUUGUUUCUUUAAAGACCUUUGUUAAUUUAAUAACUGGGAGAUGAAUAUACUGCCACCAGACAGAAGUCAGUCCGAACGAGGUAACCUAAGAAGUUCCCCGGAACCAAACACCUAGAACUGUGUGCUUGGUAAAAAGUAUGAGCCUCUGUGUGGAAGCAGGAGGCUAUGAUAUGGGGAGGAGUGCGCUCGAGGACAGAGGCCACACAGAAAAGGAGACAAAGCCUUGUGCCUGGGCGAGGAGGGAGAGAGCUGCCGUUUCCAUGGAGAUCUUUAGUGACAAGAUUGUGAAGGAUAUGACGUAAUAUACAGAAGAGAACGUGAAAAUUAUAAACUCAGGAGAAUCUUCGCCUCGCUGUAGUCAGAGAAAUACGUAUUAACACCGUGGCGACCCGCAGUACAAAUGUGUGGAAGAGGCUGUCGGCUGUUAAACAGCACUGGUGGCUGUCCAGCGACAGCACAUCUGACAACAGCUUUGUUGGGAACUACCAAAACCUGGACCUCAACCAAAGUGAUCGUUCGUAGGGUCCAUCAACAAGAAAACGGAGGACUUACUGUAAGGGCUAAGCUGUAUCUAAAACUUGAAAACAUACGGAAUGGUAAUUUCAGGUACAGUGUUACAGUAAGAUAUAAAAACAUACGUAGGAAGUGCUGUGCACCACAUCAUGGGGUAUUUGCCCCUAGGGAAAGCAGAAGGAAGGGAGACACUGGGGAGCAGUACAAAGCAGGUCUCUUGCAGAAUCUGUACUAUAUUUAAUUUCCUAAAAAGUUGAGGGAGGUGUAGCUGGAAUGAGACCAUGGGAGUAGGAGAUUUGUCCAAACUGCAUCAUCAGUUUAUAAGAGUUCAUUGUAUGUUAUAAACUGUGAUUCCCUGUACAUUUGAAACGUUUAAUGAAGUGAUUGGUUGUUUUAAGGCAGAGUUCUUUGAUUACUGAAGCUAAAGAUUUUUUUUCAGCUUUUUAACCACUAAUACGUAUUUCUUUCAGCUUUGGGAUUUUCUGUUGGUAUGCUCUCCCCAUGUUUCUGUGGAGGUUAACUUUUUCACGUUUUUAAUUCUCUUAAUUGAUUAAAGAUAAUUAACUCGUUAGAGAUCUCUUUUACUAAGAUAUUUUCAGAAUCUCAGAUUAAGUGCUUAGAUUACUUUGCUUAGAAAAGCCUUCUCCAAUCUCAGAUCAGGAAACAGUUCGUGGGUAUUUUCUUUGUUUUAUGGUUUAGGUUUGUAUAUUUUAAGUCUUAACCCUUCUGUGUCAUGUAUUUUGGAGUAUGGAAUGUGUUUUGAAAUCACCUCUGUCUUUACGCACUAACCUGAAACAGGCCAGAAUUUAUUGUCUUAAUGAUUUUUCUUUCUGAGUCCAUGUUGUCUGUUCGUUUUAUCCAAGUGGUAAUAUGUGCAGAUGAACUGA